rnacentral:tRNA from 1 species
GCGAGGGUAGCCAAGCUAGGCCAACGGCGCAGCGUUGAGGGCGCUGUCCCGUAGGGGUCCGAGGGUUCGAAUCCCUUCCCUCGCA